rnacentral:rRNA from 1 species
UCAUCCUACGGGGGGCAGCAGUGGGGAAUAUUGCACAAUGGGGGAAACCCUGAUGCAGCAACGCCGCGUGAAGGAAGAAGGCUUUCGGGUUGUAAACUUCUUUUGACAGGGAAGAGCAGAAGACGGUACCUGUCGAAUAAGCCACGGCUAACUACGUGCCAGCAGCCGCGGUAAUACGUAGGUGGCAAGCGUUGUCCGGAUUUACUGGGUGUAAAGGGCAUGUAGCCGGGCUGACAUGUCAGAUGUGAAA